rnacentral:rRNA from 1 species
UACAGAGGGGGGCAAGCGUUUGUUCGGAAUUACUGGGCGUAAAGAGCGCGCAGGCGGUCGAGUAAGUCGAAUGUGAAAGCCCCCGGCUUAACUGGGGAGGGUCAUUCGAUACUGUUCGACUUGAAGGCAGGAGAGGGCAGCAGAAUUCCCGGUGUAGUGGUGAAAUGCGUAGAUAUCGGGAGGAACACCUGUGGUGUAGACGGCUUACUGGACCGCCACUGACGCUGAGGCACGAAAGCGUGGGUAGCAAACAGG